rnacentral:lncRNA from 1 species
GUGGUUGUGGCUAUUGAGAAGCCACUCCCAUCCUACCACAGCACUCUGGAAGCUUUGGAAAGCCCCUGGGAUCCAUGUUCUCUGAGCCCACUCCAAGGGUUUUUCUCCAGGAAUCCUUCCUGGAUUCAAUUUUGCUCAACUUGACACUAAUCAGAAACCCAGCUCAAAAUUCUUAUCUACCAAAAACUGGAGGAGAAUGAACUAAGGAUGACCUGACCAUCUCUGAUUUGUCUUUAUAAGAAAGGAGUUCUGUUUAUCUGAUCACAUUCCAUGUGCCUUUGCCCAGGGAGUACAUG